rnacentral:lncRNA from 1 species
CUCUUCUUCUCCUUCGAAUUCUUUUGGAAAGAACCCAACAUUUGACUGUCUCCUUUUAUGGAGCUUACGGAGCUGUGAGCACUGAACGUGGGAACUUGGACUGCUAUUCUGAGCACAUUUCAGAAAACUCUGUUGCGUCCCAUUACGUGCCUGUCUUUGAUCUCAAAUUGAAAAUCUCGGAGCCUCUUCCUCCAAUCCAAAAGCAAAUAAAUAGUGAAAGAAAGAAACCUCUCUCCUCUCAGCACGUAGGGCCUCCACGGCUGAAAAAUGAAGGUGACAGUAAUAGCUCUGAUGAACCUGUUUGGACAACAGACAGCAACAAAUACCUGUCUCUGUGGAGGAGUUUAAGAGCACUGCAGAGAUCCUCAGACAGUGCAGAGCCUCUUGGCUUACACAGGCCACUGUCUUUCUCUCCAAACAAUACCAGCCAAGCUUCCUCUGUACCUACAACUGAAGAGCUGCGGGAACAGGACAGUAACUAAUACAGCUUUCAAAUUUGAAUCUCCUGGUCUUAUUAAAAAAUAAGAAAUGAAGAAAAAAAAAAGAAAAGAAAAAGACCUGAAUUCUAAGCAAGAUGAAGGAUUUGAUUCUGAGGAAGAAAACUACACAAGGAGGCUUGAAGCUACAAGGGCAGUCCAGACUGCUUUUUCUCCAACCAGCUACUUUACUCAUGGCCCUUUGAAAGCAGCAAUUCCUGUGAAUCAGCAGUUAAAACGGUAGGUCCACACGGGCUUUGAGCUGAUGAGAACUACUGCUAAAUAGAAAUUCCUGAUAACAGGUGAAUUGUCAAACUGGAAGAUCUGUAAUGUAGUCUGCCUACUUAAGCCAGAGUAGCUCUGUUCAUUUUCAUCCCAUUCGUAUUGUGUUUCAUUUUAGGAAAAGUCUGUUUCUAUUUAUUUCUUGUCUUGAUAUGGAACUGGGUACAAAAUUGAUUCUAAUAAUAAGCCUCUAAAAUUGUUUAAUUUACUCUCUAAUACUCAAAUAUAGCCUGUGGUUGUAAUUCACAUAUCAACAGCUAGGUAAGUGCUGGGACUCAGUGUUGAAUGGAGGGAGGUUUUGUGAAGUGUGUAUUUGGGAUUCAGAAUCGGAAGAGUUACAAAUGAAAAGCCUUAUUUUAAACUUCGAUUCAGUCUGCUGAUAUUAGCUCUACAGUAAUUGAGUGCUGAGGGGAGAGUGGGUUCGGAGGGGUAGGGGGAGUACACUGCCAACUUCUACCUAUUUUUCCCAACAGAUCAUGUAUCAAAAGUGUAAUCUGUAUAGGAACAUGAACUGGUGAAAUGCAUCUCUGAUGCUAGUUUCCUAUGUUGUUAUGUAGAAUGUUUGUAAUUAUCUUGCUGAGUCCUAAUCCCUGACAUUUGCUAUCACAAAGCAUCUACUGGAGAAUGCAAUACUCUAAUUAAUGUUUCUGUGAAAAGAGUCGGGGGGAAGAAAGGUUGUGCUGCUUUAGCAGAGCAUUUUUAAGAAAAGCUAUUUUGUUAAUGAUAUAGAUGUAAAAUGUUGGGAAGCCUAAGGACACUUUAUCAACUGUAAUACCUUGUUGUUUUCUAUCACAGUGUACAAAUACAGUUAAGCAUAUGUUAAUUGUAAGUUAUUUUCUGAACUAUGUACUGCACUUUCCUACAUCAGAAGCAAAAUAGGCACUUGCUCCAGUUUAUAUAUUUCUAUAUCUUGGUAUUUCCUAUCUUAAGUAUUUUCUGUGAUAAAUAAUGCCUAGUUACCACAUUUAAAAUAAAUUUAUUUAAUAAAAAGAAAAUAUCAGUGCUUUCACAUAUUAUGUUUUACACUAACUUUUAUAUGAAGGAGAAGAAGAUCAAAACAAAGUCAGUAAAAUUUGAAUUGCAGCUCAUAAAGAUUGUACAGAGAACACGCCACAAACAGUGUGAAGCUGUAAACCUGAGUUUUGAUCACAGGGAGACAUCACUUUUUAUAGUUUGUCUGCAAACUAAGGCAAAAGGUUAAUUGAGGUUAUGUGCUGGGGUACGUGAUGUGUAUUUCACCUGUGUAGCAGUUAGUUACUGAAACUGUGCUUUUUUAUAUCUGGUAUGAAUAAUGUCU